rfam:Dipodomys ordii contig_27184, whole genome shotgun sequence.
GGUGGCUCAGUGGUAGAGUGCUUGCCUUGCAUGCAUGAGGCCCUGGGUUCAAUUCCUAAGCACCA